UGGCGGCACUAGCGCGGUGGUCCCACCUGACCCCAUGCCGAACUCAGAAGUGAAACGCUGUAGCGCCGAUGGUAGUGUGGGGUCUCCCCAUGCGAGAGUAGGGAACUGCCAGGC
rnacentral:rRNA from 1 species